rnacentral:rRNA from 1 species
ACGACAAGGUAGAUAGGUUCGAGGUGGAAGUAUGGUGACAUAUGGAGCUGACGAAUACUAAUAGAUCGAGGACUUAACCAC